rnacentral:rRNA from 1 species
AUGCAUAUCGCCGGCCGUAGGGUGCUCGUUCGCUGCGUCCUCUCCGCUAUGCCGACAUUCGCCCUCACAGUGCUGAGAGCACCAAAGAAGUUUUUCAAGUAGGUAGAUAAAGCCAGGGCUCACUUCCUCUGGGCACAAGACGAAGAAGCAACCAGAGGAAAGUGCAAGGUAGCAUGGAGCGUGGUCACCACGCCGAAAUCCCACGGAGGCCUCGGCAUCCAUGAUCUGGACAAAUUCGCGCGUGCCCUCCGCCUGCACUGGCUCUGGCUCUCCCGGACCCAUCCAGAGCGGGCAUGGGUCGGCACGGACACACCAUGCAACCUGUAG